CUCAUAGCUUACAGCCCAAUGACAUGAACAUUGAAUUCUCCAAAUUAAGGAAAUAUCCCCCAUCGUGGACCAUCUCUUUGUCAUUCCUCUGUCUUCUUGCUGGUGAAAGGCGUCAGGAUUAAUCCAGAGUCACCGCUUUCUGUCCCCCGGCAGUUCCCCCUCAACUCCGAACGUUGGGAUCUCGCUCUCCGCCCUUGGACAUCCGCAAGACUCCAUCUGCGGCGGCCCACACCACCAUCCCCAUUUCAUAAUCAUAAUCAUAAGCCUCCCAUUUACUGCAACAUAUCUAUGUUACUAGCGGCAGGGGCGCGGGAGAUCCUCUGUAACUCCUCACAGAAGAGUAAACAAGCUUUGUUAUCUGCCCUGCUAUUUCAUGUUUACAUUUACCAUCCGCCCUUCACACAUUCCCAGACAAGAGGUAAUAUGUCUAAUCUUACUUUUCCGAUUCCCACAACCUCUUCUGCACCUGGUCAAGCGGGAGCUGCCAAUUGUCACAUCCAAUACAUUCUUUCGUUACCUUGUUCAAUUCCAAUCAAAAUUAAAUAAGGAAGGAUAUACAUUUUUCUUCCACAGUUCCCUCCUUGUUGAUCAACACUUAGAGUAAGAAAAUAUAUUAAUAUUUU